rnacentral:snRNA from 1 species
AAAAAACCCAGAGGAGAUAACAUUAUCAAGAAAGUGUUUUUUCAGGGAUGCUCACUUGUACUCUACAUAUGUUGACUCCAGUGAUUUCCUAAAAUGUAGGAACUUGAUGAAAUAAUUUGUGAUAAUGGGGAACCACAUUCUUACUCUGGAAGUGGGUCGGCC